rnacentral:rRNA from 1 species
UUCAGCACUAAGUCACUUUGUCUUUAUGGCAAAUGUGAGAUGCAGUGUAUGGAAUGUUCAAUUUCUAGUAUGAGAAAUUAAUGAUUUAAGUCCUUCUUAAAUGAGGCCAUUUACCCAUAGAGGGUGCCAGGCCCGUAUAACGUUAAUGAUUACUAGAGAACAUUUCCAAAGAGUCGUGUUGCUUGAUAGUGCAGCACUAAGUGGGUGGUAAACUCCAUCUAAAACUAAAUAUAACCAUGAGACCGAUAGUAAACAAGUACCGUGAGGGAAAGUUGAAAAGAACUCUGAAUAGAGAGUUAAAUAGUACGUGAAACUGCUUAGAGGUUAAGCCCGAUGAACCUGAAUAUCCAUUAUGGAAAAUUCAUCAUUAUGAUUGUGAUAUGAAAAUAAUAUUAUGAUAAUGGUGUGCAUUUUUUCCAUAUAAGGACAUUGUAAUCUAUUAACAUAAAUGAAUUUAUCAUAAGAUCAAUAAAUAUAAGUUUAUUCGAAUUAUUUUGCUUGCAAUUUAACAUAGAAUAAAUAUUGUUGAUUUGAUAAAGUGUUGAUAGUUUUAUUAUAUACAGUGCUUGAAUAUAUAUUUAUAUAUAUUGUAUAAUUGGCAUAUAUAAUCAAUGAUUAUUGUGUUUAUUUAUAUGCACUUGUAUG